UACGUAGGGGGCAAGCGUUGUCCGGAAUCAUUGGGCGUAAAGCGCGUGUAGGCGGCUUGGUAAGUCCGCUCUGAAAGCCCCGGGGCUCAACCCCGGGAGGCGGGUGGAUACUGUCAAGCUCGAGUCCGGAAGAGGCGAGUGGAAUUCCUGGUGUAGCGGUGAAAUGCGCAGAUAUCAGGAAGAACACCCGUGGCGAAGGCGGCUCUCUGGGACGGUACUGACGGCUGAGACGCGAAAGCGUGGGGAGCGAAC
rnacentral:rRNA from 1 species